CGCCAGAUGGCUCAGUUGGUAGAGCACCUGACUAGAGAUUCAGGGGGCGCAGGUUCGAAACCCGGUCUUGUCC
rnacentral:tRNA from 1 species